GCCCUAACCUGGCAGGGAGACCCCAUGGCUAUGAAGGUGAUCUUCCAGGGCAAGCCUUAUCCAUUGUGCACAAGAUGUGUUGACCCCUCUGACACUCCCAAAUGGGGGAAACUGGGCUGCAUGCUUUGUGGUAGUGGGGGUGGCAUUUGGCCUCUUCAA
ensembl:snRNA U1 U1 spliceosomal RNA